rnacentral:rRNA from 1 species
GACGAACGCUGGCGGCGUGCCUAAUACAUGCAAGUCGAACGCACUCUCGUUUAGAUUGAAGGAGCUUGCUCCUGAUUGAUAAACAUUUGAGUGAGUGGCGGACGGGUGAGUAACACGUGGGUAACCUGCCCUAAAGUGGGGGAUAACAUUUGGAAACAGAUGCUAAUACCGCAUAAAACCUAAACACCGCAUGGUGUAGGGUUGAAAGAUGGUUUCGGCUAUCACUUUAGGAUGGACCCGCGGUGCAUUAGUUAGUUGGUGAGGUAAAGGCUCACCAAGACCGUGAUGCAUAGCCGACCUGAGAGGGUAAUCGGCCACACUGGGACUGAGACACGACCCCAGACUCCUACGGGAGGCAGCAGUAGGGAAUCUUCCACAAUGGACGAAAGUCUGAUGGAGCAACGCCGCGUGAGUGAAGAAGGUUUUCGGAUCGUAAAACUCUGUUGUUGGAGAAGAAUAGUAUCUGAUAGUAACUGAUCAGGUAGUGACGGUAUCCAACCAGAAAGCCACGG